rnacentral:rRNA from 1 species
CAGCCGCCACGGUAAUACGUAGGUGGCAAGCGUUGUCCGGAAUUAUUGGGCGUAAAGGGCUCGCAGGCGGUUUCUUAAGUCUGAUGUGAAAGCCCCCGGCUCAACCGGGGAGGGUCAUUGGAAACUGGGAAACUUGAGUGCAGAAGAGGAGAGUAGAAUUCCACGUGUAGCGGUGAAAUGCGUAGAGAUGUGGAGGAACACCAGUGGCGAAGGCGACUCUCUGGUCUGUAACUGACGCUGAGGAGCGAAAGCGUGGGGAGCGAACAGGAUUAGAUACCCCCGUAGUCCCUGUCUCUUAUAC